rnacentral:rRNA from 1 species
CGUGUAGGCGGCUUGGCAAGUGUCGUGUGAAAUCCCCCGGCUCAACCGGGGAACUGCACGGCAAACUGCCCGGCUUGAGGUCGGUAGAGGUGCCUGGAACUCUCGGUGGAGCGGUGAAAUGCGUAGAUAUCGAGAGGAACGCCAGAGGCGAAAGCGGGGCACUGGGCCGAAACUGACGCUGAGACGCGAAAGCGUGGGGAGCAAACAGGAUUAGAUACCCUGGUAGUCCACGCCGUAAACGAUGCACACUAGACGUCGGAGGUUCUGACACAGCCGGCGUUGGCGUAAAAACAUUAAGUGUGCCGCCUGGGGAGUACGGCCGCAAGGCUAAA